GUCGAACGGAAGGCCCUGCUUUUGUGGGGUGCUCGAGUGGCGAACGGGUGAGUAACACGUGAGUAACCUGCCCUUGACUUUGGGAUAACUUCAGGAAACUGGGGCUAAUACCGGAUAGGAGCUCCUGCUGCAUGGUGGGGGUUGGAAAGUUUCGGCGGUUGGGGAUGGACUCGCGGCUUAUCAGCUUGUUGGUGGGGUAGUGGCUUACCAAGGCUUUGACGGGUAGCCGGCCUGAGAGGGUGACCGGCCACAUUGGGACUGAGAUACGGCCCAGACUCCUACGGGAGGCAGCAGUGGGGAAUAUUGCACAAUGGGCGGAAGCCUGAUGCAGCAACGCCGCGUGCGGGAUGACGGCCUUCGGGUUGUAAACCGCUUUCGCCUGUGACGAAGCGUGAGUGACGGUAAUGGGUAAAGAAGCACCGGCUAACUACGUGCCAGCAGCCGCGGUGAUACGUAGGGUGCGAGCGUUGUCCGGAUUUAUUGGGCGUAAAGGGCUCGUAGGUGGUUGAUCGCGUCGGAAGUGUAAUCUUGGGGCUUAACCCUGAGCGUGCUUUCGAUACGGGUUGACUUGAGGAAGGUAGGGGAGAAUGGAAUUCCUGGUGGAGCGGUGGAAUGCGCAGAUAUCAGGAGGAACACCAGUGGCGAAGGCGGUUCUCUGGGCCUUUCCUGACGCUGAGGAGCGAAAGCGUGGGGAGCGAACAGGCUUAGAUACCCUGGUAGUCCACGCUGUAAACGGUGGGUACUAGGUGUGGGGUCCAUUCCACGGGUUCCGUGCCGUAGCUAACGCUUUAAGUACCCC
rnacentral:rRNA from 1 species